rnacentral:tRNA from 1 species
GGGGAAUUGGCUCAGUUGGUAGAGCAACGGACUGUUAAUCCGUAGGUCGCUGGCUUAAGCCCAACAUUCCCCUUA